AUGAAGGACUACUUCGCCAAGGUACCGACAUAUCUGUCUCACCUUUUCCAUAGGCGACAUCGAAUGCGUAGGUCUCUUUUCGUUCGCAUCAUUGAAGCUUGCGAGCAAAAUUGUCUUUUUUUAACUCGUCGGAGGAAUGCCGCCGGUUUGCUUCGGUUUAGUGCAUAUCAAAAAAUAUCGGCGGUGAUGAGAGUGAGGAUCAGUUUGGUUGCUACCCUGGGCCACGUGCCUGGGAGAAAAUGCUGCUUGGCCAGCGCCUGA
rnacentral:rRNA from 1 species